AUAACAAUACGCACAUUAAAAUUCAGUUCAAGAGAAAUCCGAGUCUGAUGUCAGAAGAUGUAACCAAAGAAAAUAAACAAAAUUACAAUAAUACAUAAAUAACAACAGACUACUAGCAGUUAACUGACAUGCCAGCUCCAGACUUCAAUUAAACUGACUGAAAGAUUAUGAUUUCAUCAUAUGAACAUCAGGCACAAUCCGUCCCGUUAGGGGUUUAGUAUCAUACCAUCAUAACAUAUGAGAAGAACAUAACCCGUGUCAUGCCAACAACUGUUUUUAGAAUAAAUGUGUUUAGUUCCGAUGCAAAGACCUUAUCAGUGACUCAAUAUUAACGCC
rnacentral:lncRNA from 1 species